rnacentral:rRNA from 1 species
GUCUACGGCCAUGCCACCCUGAACAAGCCUGAUCCUAUCUGAUCUCAGAAGCUAAGCAGGGUUGGGCCUGGUUAGUACUUGGAUGGGAGACCACCUAGGAAGACCAGAUGCUGUAGGCA